CCCGCUGAACUUAAGCAUAUCAGUAAGCGGAGGAAAAGAAACUAACAAGGAUUCCCCUAGUAACGGCGAGUGAAGCGGGAACAGCUCAAAUUUAAAAUCUGGCGUCCUUGGACGUCCGAAUUGUAAUUGAGAGGGUCUCCUUUGGAUGACCUGAAUGGCCAAAGUUCUCUGGAAAGGGACAACAAAGAGGGUGACAUUCCCGUCUGGGUCAUUUAGGAAUUCCGCAUAAAGGGGGCUCCAAGAGUCGGAUUGUUUGGGAAUGCAGUCCAAAAUGGGUGGUACAUUUCAUCUAAAGCUAAAUAUUGGCAAGAGGCCGAUAGCGAACAAGUACCGUGAGGGAAAGAUGAAAAGAACUUUGAAAAGAGAGUUAAAUAGUACGUGAAAUUGUUAAAAGGGAAACGAUUGAGACCAGUGAUGCUACAAGUUCUUGAGCCUUCCCUUUGGGGAUGGUGUUUGAGCUUGUGGCAAGUUGACGCUCCUUUUGGGUGCUGGAUAAGACUACAGGAAAGGUGGCUCUACCCUCGGGUAGCUGCUUUAUAGUCCUGUGGGGAUACAGCGUCUGGGAGGAGACAGGUAGGGUCGCAAGAUUCUCGUCAACGAAAUGGUCUUAAACGACCCGUCUUGAAACACGG
rnacentral:rRNA from 1 species